rnacentral:rRNA from 1 species
UGGGGAAUAUUGCACAAUGGGCGAAAGCCUGAUGCAGCGACGCCGCGUGAGUGAAGAAGUAUUUCGGUAUGUAAAGCUCUAUCAGCAGGGAAGAAAAUGACGGUACCUGACUAAGAAGCCCCGGCUAACUACGUGCCAGCAGCCGCGGUAAUACGUAGGGGGCAAGCGUUAUCCGGAUUUACUGGGUGUAAAGGGAGCGUAGACGGCGAAGCAAGUCUGAAGUGAAAACCCAGGACUCAACCCUGGGACUGCUUUAGAAACUGUUUUGCUAGAGUGUCGGAGAGGUAAGUGGAAUUCCUAGGGUAGCGGUGAAAUGCGUAGAUAUUAGGAGGAACACCAGUGGCGAAGGCGGCUUACUGGACGAUAACUGACGUUGAGUCUCGAAAGCGUGGGGAGCAAACAGG